CCUACGGGUGGCAGCAGUGAGGAAUAUUGGUCAAUGGGCGCGAGCCUGAACCAGCCAAGUAGCGUGAAGGAUGACUGCCCUAUGGGUUGUAAACUUCUUUUAUAUGGGAAUAAAAUGUUCCACGUGUGGGAUUUUGUAUGUACCAUAUGAAUAAGGAUCGGCUAACUACGUGCCAGCAGCCGCGGUAAUACGGAGGAACAGAGGGUUAUCCGGAUUUAUUGGGUUUAAAGGGAGCGUAGGUUGAUUGUUAAGUCAGUUGUGAAAUUUUGCGGCUCAACCGUAAAAUUGCCGUUGAAACUGGCAGUCUAGAGUACAGUAGAGGUAGGCGGAAUGCGUGGUGUAGCGGUGAAAUGCUUAGAUAUCACGAAGAACUCCGAUUGCGAAGGCAGCUCACUGGACUGCAACUGACACUGAGGCUCGAAAGUGUGGGUAUCAAACAGGAUUAGAUACCCCGGUAGUC
rnacentral:rRNA from 1 species